GGGAAUUUUAGUCUCCGCUGACGAGAGCAAUGCCUGCUGGGAGUUGUAGUGCUGCCGCCUUCCCUGGGCGGGCGGCAGACCGGGCUGGGGCUGGCCGUGUCGGGAGGGCUCUGUCGACACUAUCAUACAGCGGUACAACCGGGGCUUUGUGCCCGCCUUCAUCUUUGGGGUGCAGGUCCAGCCCGGCUCUGACCCGCCCUCACGCUGCUGCAGCAUCUGGCCUGUGGUGAACUUCUUGACCUACAGCCAGGCGAGGCACUGGAGGGAGAAAGGUCUGUGUAAAUAGCUGGUUAAAGCACAAAACACAGGUGUAAAACUCAUGUUGGACUAGAAUAUGGUUUUAUACCCUACUUUUAUUGCGAGGAACUCAUUUAAGAGCCGCAUUCUAUCUUUGUGACUGCCUGUUUACUCACCAUGGUGUAUGGACUACAGUGAAUUUUGGGUGGACUUUCUGGAUUCCUCCUGCAGGCCGAGACCAGGAUUUCUGCAAGAAAUGAGACACAGGAAAGCAGACGAAAGGGUGCAGCAUGUGCACUAAGGUAGCACAGUCCAUCAGGGCGCGGCACAUGCGGGAACCUUGUCUCCACUUCUCGAGAAAGGCCAAGUCAAUUGACAAAAAGCCAAGGAACAAUCAUGUACAUUAAGGCUGCCUCAGGAGAAUAUUAACUGUUAAUACACUUGUCACCAAGCAUUGCAAGACCAUCUUCAAAUAUUGCCUAUGCAGGGUAUUGAACAGGAAUCACAGCUCCCUGGAUAUAAUGCAAAGGCACAGCGAAAUGCCUACAGAGAAGUCAGUCAAAUGAUGUUAUAAUCAGGAUUGUUGGACAGUUUCAUUACAUACAUUUACUUUUGUUCUCUAUCAACUUGUUUUCAAUGCGAGUUUUGAAUGACCAGUCAUGAUGGGGGGACUUUCUUCUCAAGAGAAGUGGAAGUCUGUUGGCUAUUUCUUUGCAAGUCACAAGGCAUGGACAGAGUGUCUAGGUACUUUCAUAGCUUCUGUCUCCUGAACAGCUCAGUGAAAUCUAUUUGAAUAUAAGAACAUCCUGAACAGAUCAUCAAAUCCAGCAUCCUCUCACUAACAGUAAUAAGUAUUAGAAGUUCGUCUAAAGAAUGUAAGAACUGGUGAAUGUGGAUGGAUCAACCCCCAGGACAAGACCUGCCCUCCUUCCUCACCCAUCAGAAGUGAGCCCUGUGAAGCGUUACUCGUGUUAGUAGAUUUGCUGACUGUAAUGGAUUGCUAAAGUUUGGACGAACUGGGCCUCGAUGGGAGCAGUGGAACAUUCCAUGGAAAAUCUGAUGCGCUCUAAGGAAUGUCAAUUCCCAUCACUGUAAUUUCUCUCUGUAUAAAAUUCUCUCAAGUGCUCUGUUUUUCUUUAUGCAUCUGCUUCUUUGGAAAAUGACCUGCAUUUCAAAGAUCAGGUAGGAUUUGAAGAGAGCUGUAGAGGCAUUAAGUAGUAUAAUGGA